GAUGAACGCUGGCGGCGUGCUUAACACAUGCAAGUCGAACGAAGCACUUUAUUACAAUUUCUUCGGAAUGACGAUUUAGUGACUGAGUGGCGGACGGGUGAGUAACGCGUGGGUAACCUGCCUUAUACAGGGGGAUAACAGUUAGAAAUGACUGCUAAUACCGCAUAAGCGCACAGGAUUGCAUGAUCUGGUGUGAAAAACUCCGGUGGUAUAAGAUGGACCCGCGUCUGAUUAGCUGGUUGGUGAGGUAACGGCCCACCAAGGCGACGAUCAGUAGCCGACCUGAGAGGGUGACCGGCCACAUUGGGACUGAGACACGGCCCAAACUCCUACGGGAGGCAGCAGUGGGGAAUAUUGCACAAUGGGGGAAACCCUGAUGCAGCGACGCCGCGUGAGCGAAGAAGUAUUUCGGUAUGUAAAGCUCUAUCAGCAGGGAAGAAAAAAAUGACGG
rnacentral:rRNA from 1 species